UUUUAUAUAAUUAAAAUGCAAAUUGGCAAGUGAGCGAAGGAAACUAAUUAUUGAUCUAAUAUCAUGCAAUGUGCAUCUUUGACUUUCACCUAAAUUCAAGUGUAAUUAAGGUAAAGGAUAUCACUUGGUUAAUGUCUUACUAAAGGCGGACUUUGUCACAAUUACAUCUAGCAACCAGCUUCAAUUCGUCUCUCAAUAGGACUGUAUACAAUCAUGAAGUUAUCUGUUUUCAUCAUUACACUGUUGACUGCUGUCAACAUAGUGGAAAGUUUCAGCCAUUACCGAGACACUUUCUACACAGACUUUGAUGGUAAUUUUGGUGGUCCAAGAAUACUUCCGCUACGAGGUACGCCACGCUUAGCGCGACAGAGCCUAUUCCCCCAUCGUCUUGGAUUAUACAGACCAGGGUUUGAUCCAAGCGCCUAUUCUCUCCUUGACUUAGACAGAAUCUUGCCGUUCCCACCACCGUAUUAGAAGUCGUGGAACUUACGGGAGGAUAUGUUAAAGGCUUAUCAGCAUUCAGAUUUUAUAUUCCUGAAUCGUUUUUGUUUCUUGACAUCAAAAAUCAAAUUUAGUUUAAGUAGCUUGAGUCCUACAUUAAAUUGUAUCUUAAAAUGAACAAACACUCUGUAAGUACGAGGAACAAAUAAACAAAAAUAAGACAGAAAAGUCUUAAUUUAGAUGUCAUAAAAUCGUUACAACUUAACAAAUCAUGCUUUUAUGGUCAAAUGUGAAUAAAACAUGCAAGAGCCAG
rnacentral:lncRNA from 1 species